rnacentral:rRNA from 1 species
CGCUGGCGGCGUGCUUAACACAUGCAAGUGGAGCGACGAACCGGGGCUUGCCCCGGGGCAGAGCCGCGAACGGGUGAGUAACACGUGGGUAACCUGCCUCAAUGGUUGGGACAACCCGGGGAAACUCGGGCUAAUACCAAAUGUGUUCACUCCUUUUAAGGGGAGUGAGGAAAGGAAGCUUCGGCCUCCGCAUUGAGAUGGGCCCGCGGCCCAUUAGCUUGUUGGUGAGGUAACGGCUCACCAAGGCUUCGAUGGGUAGCUGGUCUGAGAGGACGAUCAGCCACACUGGGACUGAGACACGGCCCAGACUCCUACGGGAGGCAGCAGUGGGGAAUCUUGCACAAUGCGCGAAAGCGUGAUGCAGCAACGCCGCGUGGGGGAAGACGGCCUUCGGGUUGUAAACCCCUUUCAGUUGGGACGAAGCUUCGUCGGUGAAUAGCCGGUUGGAGUGACGGUACCUUCAGAAGAAGCCCCGGCUAACUACGUG